UACGUAGGGUGCAAGCGUUGUCCGGAAUUAUUGGGCGUAAAGAGCUCGUAGGCGGUCUGUCGCGUCGGCUGUGAAAUCCCGAGGCUCAACCUCGGGUCUGCAGCCGAUACGGGCAAACUGGAGUGUUGCAGGGGAGACUGGAAUUCCUGGUGUAGCGGUGAAAUGCGCAGAUAUCAGGAGGAACACCGGUGGCGAAGGCGGGUCUCUGGGCAACAACUGACGCUGAGGAGCGAAAGCGUGGGGAGCGAACAGG
rnacentral:rRNA from 1 species